rnacentral:lncRNA from 1 species
UUUGAUCCAAUGAAUUAGAUUGACACACUGUUAGGAAUGCCCUUGCCGGUGAGUCCACCCUCUCUGGAGUAAUCUGUGGUGUUAGGAAAGAGUAAAGUGUAAGGAACUUGUACAGGCCCAACUCUGUUUUUCCAUCUCUUGUCAUUGUUCAUAUCCAUGAUUUUGUUUUCAAUUUCUACCAGCUUCCUUCCAAAUCUCUCAAAUGCUGCCAGCAGUUCACUAUCUGAAGUCCACUCGGGAGUAUCUCUCUGUCCAAGGUAAACCUCAUCAGUCGAAUGUCUUGAUAAAAUCUCAAUCAGUGAUACACCGAGUAGGGUUUGUAGCUGGGCUGUGAUUGUUUUCAGGAAGGCUACAUCUGGAUUUUUCGCAAGCUCAUCGUACUCAGGGGUCCCUGGCUCAGGCAUGAAUCGACGGCUUAUGGUGGGGCGGUUAGGGAGGUAGCC